rnacentral:misc_RNA from 1 species
UUGACUCCUCGUCCCCACGCCGAAUGUGUCCUACUCCUCUGCCAUCAUCACGGCCCAGAUCGAUUUGGGCCGCACUACAACUACGAUUCAUCUCGGAACAGCCCAACUAGCCCAUUCAACAUUCCUGUAAGCGCGGAGUCGGCGACGCACGGGGAGAAGUCGAACAGCGGCCGCGCGCGGGGAAGUUGCCCGGCGGCGGCGGAUCUCGGAGGCAGCGACGCGCGGGUGGAGGAGCUCAGUGACAGCGCCAGUGCCUAUCGAGCGAGCGAAUCGAGGAGAUUCUCCCCACUGUUUCUUUCCUGCUGA